rnacentral:rRNA from 1 species
UACGGAAGGGGCAAGCGUUGUCCGGAAUCAUUGGGCGUAAAGCGCGUGUAGGCGGUCCGGUAAGUCCGCUGUGAAAGUCGGGGGCUCAACCCUCGGAUGCCGGUGGAUACUGUCGGGCUUGAGUACGGAAGAGGCGAGUGGAAUUCCUGGUGUAGCGGUGAAAUGCGCAGAUAUCAGGAGGAACACCAAUUGCGAAGGCAGCUCGCUGGGACGUUACUGACGCUGAGACGCGAAAGCGUGGGGAGCGAACAGG